AUGGCCAUGAGGGCCCCUGCUCAGCUCCUGCGGUUCCUGCUGCUCUGCCUCCCAGGUGUCAGAUGUGACAUCACGAUGACCCAGUCUCCAUCCUCUUUGCCUGUGUCUCAAGGAGACAGAGUCACCAUCACCUGCAGGGUCAGUCAGAGUGUUGGCAGCUACUUAGCCUGGUACCAUCAGAGGCCUGGGCAGGCUUCCAGAUGCCUCAUCUAUGGUGCAUCCAGCAGGGCCAGUGGAGUUCCAGCAUGGUUCAGUAGCAGUGGGUCAGGGACAGAUUACACCCGGUCCAUCAACAGCUUGGAGCCUGGGGAUGCUGCAGUUUAUUACUGUGUGCAAGGACACACAUAUCAGAGUGGUUCAGUCCCCCCAAAAAACCUCACCAGCCCCAUUGGCACCCUCUCUCCCUUAGGGCCCAGCAGCUGCCCCCAGAGGCACCCAGUCAGACAUUUUGCACUUUUCUCUUUCCCUGCACCUGCAAAAAUUGUGUGA